rnacentral:rRNA from 1 species
GACGAACGCGGCGGCGUGCCUAAUACAUGCAAGUAGAACGCUGAAGGAGGAGCUUGCUUCUCUGGAUGAGUUGCGAACGGGUGAGUAACGCGUAGGUAACCUGCCUGGUAGCGGGGGAUAACUAUUGGAAACGAUAGCUAAUACCGCAUAAUAGCAGUUAUUGCAUGAUAACUGUUUGAAAGGUGCAAUUGCACCACUACCAGAUGGACCUGCGUUGUAUUAGCUAGUUGGUGGGGUAACGGCUCACCAAGGCGACGAUACAUAGCCGACCUGAGAGGGUGAUCGGCCACACUGGGACUGAGACACGGCCCAGACUCCUACGGGAGGCAGCAGUAGGGAAUCUUCGGCAAUGGACGGAAGUCUGACCGAGCAACGCCGCGUGAGUGAAGAAGGUUUUCGGAUCGUAAAGCUCUGUUGUAAGAGAAGAACGAGUGUGAGAGUGGAAAGUUCACACUGUGACG